UAUUGAGCCCAGUGAUGAUAAUAAUUGGGCAUGCACUUCAUAUGUUUGUUGUUGCUUUGUUUUUGGCUUUUCUGAAUACUAAUUUCUAAAUGAAACAUCCUCCCUAGCUCAUAUGGGUCCCAGGUAUUAAAAGCCUGUAAUAUAUGUAUGAAAUUGCUUCUUUAAUAGUAAAUAACUAAUGGUAAUGCAAAAACUAAUGCUCUGUCAGGUGCUUCACCGAAUAGUGCUUUAUAAAUAAGCCUUUCCAUAUUCCAUAUGUUUUUUUUCCUAAUGGGCUCUGCUGCCUGCCCCCCCACCACACACACACCAGACUUUACUCUGAAGCUGGGGAGAGGGGUGCCAGGGGUUCUCACUGACCCUCCCCUCUGGGGAUUUCAUUUACUGUUUGUACUAUUGACCAAUAAUACCCUUUGAUGAAUUAGGGGACACUAAUGGCAAAGAAAUAUAAAGAGCAAUUAAAAUAGUCCCCUGUUCUAUAAAAUGACAGUAGAUUAGAUUCUGUACCGUAAUUAAGAGUCACAGAAAAGACGUUCAGCUUUUCAUCGAACCAUAUGACAAUUUCUGAUUGUCUUCCAUGGAGAAGAAUGCGAUGCAAACCACCUGCCUGUGAUAAAUAAAUCUGUGUACAUUAGCACGAAAGUUUUGAAUAUGAACAAACCAGGGAAAAGGAGAAGUGGCAGCAGGACUGAAGUUGGAGUCACGUGGUUUCAAAGUUUGUGGAAAGUUUUUUUUCCCCUUUUUCAUGUUCUGCGUGUGUGUCAAGGUUUCAGAGGUGAGUCCUUCAAGGCUGGCAGCUCGGUGUCUCUGCAGCUGGUUUGGAGCUGAAUUUCCAACUGCCCUCGAAAAAAGCAAUCCCAUCUCUGAAUGGGGCCGUGUGGAGAAACCCGAAGAGAAACAGCAUAAGAGCCUUUUGGAAUAUAUCCCGGAAAAGAUAAUUUUCUACACAUCUGCAGCGUUUCUCCGGGUAAAGCAAUGGAAAGUCUCCACUUCGAAUCCAGUGGACGUUAGGGAAGGAAACCAAGUCUGGAAGUGCUGUUUGGAGCCAGAGUUAACAUUCCUAACGUGUGAGAGGAGCCUGUGUGCACCCUGACCCGGUCCAUCAGUAAGCACGUUCCAACACUAGCCAUUCUGUCACAGGGCUGUGGGCGCUGUGAUGUUUCAUAGUAAACUUACUUGCCCUUUCACCAAACUUUGAGUUUAGUUUGGAGGAUUUUUAAAAAUAUAGCUUUUUGGGAAGCCAUCAGUAUAAAUCCAUGAUUUUCUGUUAAGGACUCAGUUGACAGAUGCAUCCUGUCACUUCAGGUCACCCCCACCACCAUCACGGCCAGCAAUAAAACAUAAUCGGAUACAUCCUAUUUUUAAAAGAACACAGCAGAUUCGUCACCUUGUUUCACAGGCUUAAAGAACCACCCUUUCUCAGAAGCAGGAACUCACCCAGAAAGAGGCUUGUAGUCAGUGCUCCACCCUAAAGACUGGUGUCCAGGAGAACAAACUAAAGGAGGACCUGGCCAGGUCCAGCCAGGUCCUGGCGUGAGCACACACCAAAGGCUCCCAGCACCUUGGCUGUCAUCCAAUUUUACCUCGAAGGGUUGCUGUUUCAUGAACACGGGAGCAGCAGGUGUAGGCGGGGGUACAGGGAACUCUGUUGCAGGUGUCGGGAGCCUGGUCAAGACUCCAAGUCGGGAGUUGCUGUCGUGGCUCAGUAGUUAACGAAUCCGACUAGGAACCAUGAGGUUGCGGGUUCGAUCCCUGGCCUUGCUCAGUGCAUUAAGGAUCCGGCGUUGCCGUGAGCUGUAGUGUAGGUUGUAGACGCAGCUUGGAUCCCAUGUUGCUGUGGCUCUGGCAUAGGCCGGUGGCUACAGCUCCGAUUCGACCCCUAGCCUGGGAACCUCCAUGUGCUGCGGGAGCGGCCCUAGAAAAGGCAAAAAGACAAAAAAAAAAGAAAAAAGACUCCAAGUCGUAGGUUAAUUCGUGUCUUCCAAAAUGUGUCUUCUCCAUGAAGAAUUUAGUAAGAUCUUAAGGUGUAUAACACGGUUUAAGAUCGACAAAGCGAUUCAAGUAUGGCAGUAAAUAAAAGGGCAUUUUAAAGCUGUCUCCUUGAUGCAGUAACAGGAUACAUGCAGGGAACGGAGGGAACCGAUUUCAGUGGAAGAUGCCUCUGGGGAUCAGCCAGGAGUGUGUUUGAAAAAAGCAAGAGUGGCGGGCGGGGUAGACGAUGGAGCAACGGUGAGCAUCCACGUCCUGGGCCCUUGGACUUCCCGGUCCUCCUGUGUCACAGCAUAUUUCUAAACUUGCAUUUCGACGGCGCCCCUGUGCAGGGCUCCGCGUGGAUCUCAGCUGUGCUGCCUUAACUCUCCUCCCCAGGGAGGGGGAGACAGCAGAUGGGGUUAGGGCAGAGGGCUGACGCAUCUGACAGCCAACGGCCGGGUUGUGGAGUGGAAGCCGCCAGCGUCAGGAAGCGACUUUUCCCCUGAGAACCAACUAACCACUGAAGAAAGUUGAAAAUGAGCCCUUUGAGAAACGCUAUUAAAAGUAGUAAAAAAUUGCAAUUGUGCAGAUGAUGUGCUGCUGUGUGCGUAUUCGGAUGCUAAUGAGCUUGACAUUAGGGAACUCAGAGGGUUUACAGCUACUCCCUUAUGUGAUUCAGUUCUUUAUUGGCAAUCUUUGAGAAAAUAAAUGGAAAAUGUAUUGCUAAUAAACACACAACACGAUAGGGUGUAGACAAAAAGCCAUUACUUUCAGGAUUUAGAAAGAGCUCUGCCCACCAGUGUUUUGCAGGAUCUUUUGUUUUAGGUUCGAGAGUGUCGAACAAAGGGGACAGGCAGGUGGGCUGAGGGUGAAAGAGGAGAAGCCAAACGCUUUGGGAGAGAAAGCUUUUUUUUAGUUGCAAAAAGCAAACACAAACUAAGAACUCCUGGGUCCUGUGCUACUUUUCAGUCCUUACAUCCUGUAUGACAACCCGCUCUGUGUCUUGAGAGAG
rnacentral:lncRNA from 1 species